CCACCGUUUAACCUUCGAAGUAGGUAGCUCUCUUAGCUGUUCAAUUAGUUGCUACUACAAUUAUAUAGUUGGUUACUGACAAUGGCAUCUAUUUAUGUUAUUACUUAGGUGAUGGUGCUGUUACCAAAGGACAGGGCUAUGGAAUUCGUAGUAUUCGUGUGGAUGGUAAUGAUGCUCUUGCUAUUUUCACCGCUGUCCAGGAGGCACGAAAAAUAGUUGUUAAUGAACAUAAACCUGUUCUAGUUGAGGCUCUCAGGAAGCAGUCAAGACUCCAGGCAAAGAAGAAUGCUGGUGCGGAUAAGAAACAUCAAUAUAAAGGUCAG